CUCUUCGGUUAAUACCCGGAGACGAUGACAUUAGCUGCAGAAUAAGCACCGGCUAACUCUGUGCCAGCAGCCGCGGUAAUACAGAGGGUGCAAGCGUUAAUUGGAAUUACUGGGCGUAAAGCGAGCGUAGGUGGCUUGAUAAGUCAGAUGUGAAAUCCCCGGGCUUAACCUGGGAACUGCAUCUGAAACUGUUAGGCUAGAGUAGGUGAGAGGGAAGUAGAAUUUCAGGUGUAGCGGUGAAAUGCGUAGAGAUCUGAAGGAAUACCGAUGGCGAAGGCAGCUUCCUGGCAUCAUACUGACACUGAGGCUCGAAAGCGUGGGUAGCAAACAGGAUUAGAUACCCUGGUAGUCCACGCCGUAAACGAUGUC
rnacentral:rRNA from 1 species